rnacentral:tRNA from 1 species
GAGGGUAUAGGUCAGUGGUAGAACACAUGCUUAGCAUGCACAAGGUCCUGGGUUCAAUCCCCAGUACCUCCA